AGCGCCACGGGAUCGACACCACGGGUGACGACCAGGUAGUCGCGCAUCACGAUGCCGUGGCGGUUCUC
rnacentral:sRNA from 1 species